CCUACGGGGGGCAGCAGUGAGGAAUAUUGGUCAAUGGCCGUAAGGCUGAACCAGCCAAGUCGCGUGAAGGAAGAAGGAUCUAUGGUUUGUAAACUUCUUUUAUAGGGGAAUAAAGGUAUCCACGUGUGGAUAUUUGCAUGUACCCUAUGAAUAAGCAUCGGCUAACUCCGUGCCAGCAGCCGCGGUAAUACGGAGGAUGCGAGCGUUAUCCGGAUUUAUUGGGUUUAAAGGGUGCGUAGGUUGUUUUUUAAGUCAGCGGUGAAAGUUUGUGGCUCAACCAUAAAAUUGCCGUUGAAACUGGAAGACUUGAGUGUGUUUGAGGUAGGCGGAAUGCGUGGUGUAGCGGUGAAAUGCAUAGAUAUAACGAAGAACUCCGAUUGCGAAGGCAGCUUACUAAGCCAUAACUGACACUGAAGCACGAAAGCGUGGGGAGCAAACAGGAUUAGAUACCCUAGUAGUC
rnacentral:rRNA from 1 species